rnacentral:rRNA from 1 species
AUUGAACGCUGGCGGCAGGCCUAACACAUGCAAGUCGAGCGGAGCGGCGAACGGGGGAGUAAUGCCUAGGAAUCUGCCUGGUAGUGUGGGAUAACGUCCGGAACCGGGACCUAAUACCACAUACUAUCCGAUGAGCCUAGGUCGGAUUAGCUAGUUGGUGGGGUAAAGGCCUACCAAGGCUACGAGCCGUAACUGGACUGAGAGGAUGAUCAGUCACACUGGAACUGAGACACGGUCCAGACUCCUACGGGAGGCAGCAGUGGGGAAUAUUGGACAAUGGGCGAAAGUCUGAGCGAGCCAUGCCGCGUGUGUGAAGAAGGUCUUCGGAUUGUAAAGCUCUUUAAGUUGGGAGGCGUUACCAACAGAAUAAGCACCGGCUAACUUCGUGCCAGCAGCCGCGGUAAUAC